rnacentral:rRNA from 1 species
CUACGGGGUGCUGCAGUAAGGAAUAUUGCGCAAUGGAGGCAACUCUGACGCAGCCAUGCCGCGUGCAGGAAGAAGGCCUUAUGGGUCGUAAACUGCUUUUAUUUAGGAAUAAACCCCCGAACGUGUUCGGGGCUGAAGGUACUAAACGAAUAAGCACCGGCUAACUCCGUGCCAGCAGCCGCGGUAAUACGGAGGGUGCAAGCGUUAUCCGGAUUUAUUGGGUUUAAAGGGUGCGCAGGCGGGCUAUUAAGUCAGUGGUGAAAUCCCGGGGCUCAACUCCGGAACUGCCAUUGAUACUGAUAGUCUUGAAUUUGGUUGAAGUGGGCGGAAUGUAGCAUGUAGCGGUGAAAUGCAUAGAUAUGCUACAGAACACCAAUCGCGAAGGCAGCUCACUAAGCCAAAACUGACGCUCAUGCACGAAAGCGUGGGGAUCAAACAGGAUUAGAUACCCCCGUAGUC